UCCCUGGAGGACUAGUCGUUAGACCACAGCGCUCUCAACAUUAUGGCCCAGGUUCGAAUCCCGGCCAGGGAA
rnacentral:tRNA from 1 species